GCUCGUGUAGUCUAGUGGUUAUGAUGUCUGCUUUACACGCAGAAGGUCGUGAGUUCGAUCCUCACCGUGGGCA